GUGUCAGCAGCCGCGGUAAUACGUAUGGGGCAAGCGUUGUUCGGAGUUAUUGGGCGUAAAGGGCGUGUAGGCGGCUCAUCAAGUCUGGUGUGAAAUUGCAGGGCUCAACCCUGCAGGUGCGCUGGAAACUGGUGGGCUAGAGUUCUUGAGGGGAAGCUGGAAUUCCAGGUGUAGGGGUGAAAUCUGUAGAUAUCUGGAAGAACACCGGUGGCGAAGGCGAGCUUCUAUCAAAGGACUGACGCUGAGGCGCGAAAGCGUGGGGAGCAAACAGGAUUAGAUACCCUGGUAGUCCACGCUGUAAACGAUGUGCACUAGGCGUGGGGCACGUACGUGCUCUGUGCCGUAGCUAACGCGAUAAGUGCACCGCCUGGGGAGUAUGCUCGCAAGGGUGAAACUCAAAGGAAUUGACGGGG
rnacentral:rRNA from 1 species